rnacentral:rRNA from 1 species
GGAAGUAAAAGUCGUAACAAGGUCUCCGUUGGUGAACCAGCGGAGGGAUCAUUACCGAGUUUACAACUCCCAAACCCAAUGUGAACGUUACCAAACUGUUGCCUCGGCGGGAUCUCUGCCCCGGGUGCGUCGCAGCCCCGGACCAAGGCGCCCGCCGGAGGACCAACCAAAACUCUUUUUGUAUACCCCCUCGCGGGUUUUUUAUAAUCUGAGCCUUCUCGGCGCCUCUCGUAGGCGUUUCGAAAAUGAAUCAAAACUUUCAACAACGGAUCUCUUGGUUCUGGCAUCGAUGAAGAACGCAGCGAAAUGCGAUAAGUAAUGUGAAUUGCAGAAUUCAGUGAAUCAUCGAAUCUUUGAACGCACAUUGCGCCCGCCAGUAUUCUGGCGGGCAUGCCUGUCCGAGCGUCAUUUCAACCCUCGAACCCCUCCGGGGGGUCGGCGUUGGGGAUCGGCCCUGCCUCUGGCGGUGGCCGUCUCCGAAAUACAGUGGCGGUCUCGCCGCAGCCUCUCCUGCGCAGUAGUUUGCACACUCGCAUCGGGAGCGCGGCGCGUCCACAGCCGUUAAACACCCAACUUCUGAAAUGUUGACCUCGGAUCAGGUAGGAAUACCCGCUGAACUUAAGCAUAUCAAUAAGCGGAGGA